AUUGAACGCUGGCGGCAUGCCUUACACAUGCAAGUCGAACGGUAACAGGUUAAGCUGACGAGUGGCGAACGGGUGAGUAAUGUAUCGGAACGUGCCCAGUCGUGGGGGAUAACUGCUCGAAAGAGCAGCUAAUACCGCAUACGACCUGAGGGUGAAAGCGGGGGAUCGCAAGACCUCGCGCGAUUGGAGCGGCCGAUAUCAGAUUAGGUAGUUGGUGAGGUAAAGGCUCACCAAGCCGACGAUCUGUAGCUGGUCUGAGAGGACGACCAGCCACACUGGGACUGAGACACGGCCCAGACUCCUACGGGAGGCAGCAGUGGGGAAUUUUGGACAAUGGGCGCAAGCCUGAUCCAGCCAUGCCGCGUGCGGGAAGAAGGCCUUCGGGUUGUAAACCGCUUUUGUCAGGGAAGAAAAGGUUCUGGCUAAUACCUGGGACUCAUGACGGUACCUGAAGAAUAAGCACCGGCUAACCACGUG
rnacentral:rRNA from 1 species